UACGUAGGUCCCGAGCGUUGUCCGGAUUUAUUGGGCGUAAAGCGAGCGCAGGUGGUUUAAUAAGUCUGGUGUAAAAGGCAGUGGCUCAACCAUUGUAUGCAUUGGAACCUGGUAGACUUGAGUGCAGGAGAGGAGAGUGGAAUUCCAUGUGUAGCGGUGAAAUGCGUAGAUAUAUGGAGGAACACCGGUGGCGAAAGCGGCUCUCUGGCCUGUAACUGACACUGAGGCUCGAAAGCGUGGGGAGCAAACAGG
rnacentral:rRNA from 1 species